rnacentral:rRNA from 2 species
GGACUACCGGGGUUUCUAAUCCCGUUUGCUCCCCUGGCUUUCGCGCCUCAGCGUCAGUUGAGGUCCAGCACGCCGCCUUCGCCACCGGUGUUCCUUCCGAUAUCUACGCAUUUCACCGCUCCACCGGAAGUUCCGCAUGCCCCUACCUCACUCCAGACAUCCAGUAUCAAAGGCCGUUUUCCAGUUAAGCUGAAAGAUUUCACCCCUGACUUGGAUAUCCGCCUACGCGCCCUUUAAGCCCAGUGAUUCCGAACAACGUUCGCACGGUUCGUCUUACCGCGGCGGCUGGCAC